rnacentral:tmRNA from 1 species
UUUGUUGAAACUAUUAAAAAUGCUUUUAUAUUGAUAAUGUUGGCUUGCCAACUACGACGAUAAACGAAUUUCGUAAUAACCAUUACGGACGUGGGGGCAGUACCCACCACCUCCACCAUUUACAACUUACGGGGGUGAAAUAGGAUCGACGGGUGACUAAAGGCUAUUCUUUCGUUCGGGAUUGUUCCACCGUAACGGGCUAAACUUUAAAUGCUAACGAAAGUUACGCUAUUGCUGCAUAAUUAACUUAGGUUAAUUAUAGAAGCACGGUCUGGGGCACCGGGUAACAGAACGCCCCUACU